rnacentral:pre_miRNA from 1 species
AGCCUUCCGUAUCCAUGCUGAGAUUUCGUCACCGAUCAACCCGCUGGCAUUGACUGAUGCAACUUCACAAAUAAGUGAGGUG